rnacentral:ncRNA from 1 species
UAUAUUUAAGUUGUUGCGGUUAAAAAGCUCGUAGUUGGAUUUUGGGCGCAGGCGGCCGGUCCGUCGCAAGGCGUGUACUGGACGUCCUGGCCUUCCCUCCGGUUCUCCGCCGGUGCUCUUGACUGAGUGUCGGCGGCGGCCGGAACGUUUACUUUGAAAAAAUUAGAGUGUUCAAAGCAGGCUCUCGAGCCUGGAUAAUGGUGCAUGGAAUAAUGGAAUAGGACCUCGGUUCUAUUUUGUUGGUUUUCGGAGCGCGAGGUAAUGAUUAAGAGGGACAGACGGGGGCAUUCGUACUGUGCCGUUAGAGGUGAAAUUCUUGGAUCGGCGCAAGACGAACGACUGCGAAAGCAUUUGCCAAGAAUGUUUUCUUUAAUCAAGAGCGAAAGUCAGAGGUUCGAAGACGAUCAGAUACCGUCCUAGUUCUGACUAUAAACGAUGCCAACUAGCGAUCGGGGGGCGUUACAUUGACGACCCCUCCGGCAGCUUACGGGAAACCAAAGUCUUUGGGUUCCGGGGGAAGUAUGGUUGCAAAGCUGAAACUUAAAGGAAUUGACGGAAGGGCACCACCAGGAGUGGAGCCUGCGGCUUAAUUUGACUCAACACGGGAAAUCUCACCCGGCCCGGACACAGUGAGGAUUGACAGAUUGAGAGCUCUUUCUUGAUUCUGUGGGUGAGAGGUGCAUAGGCCGUUCUUAUUUAGGAGGAGCGAUUUGUCUGGGUAAUUCCGAUAACGAACGAUACUCUGGCUUGCUAAAUAGUUACGCG